GACGAACGCUGGCGGCGUGCUUAACACAUGCAAGUCGAACGGAAAGGCCCUGCUUUUGUGGGGUGCUCGAGUGGCGAACGGGUGAGUAACACGUGAGUAACCUGCCCUUGACUUUGGGAUAACUUCAGGAAACUGGGGCUAAUACCGGAUAGGAUCUCCUGCUGCAUGGUGGGGGUUGGAAAGUUUCGGCGGUUGGGGAUGGACUCGCGGCUUAUCAGCUUGUUGGUGGGGUAGUGGCUUACCAAGGCUUUGACGGGUAGCCGGCCUGAGAGGGUGACCGGCCACAUGGGGACUGAGAGACGGACCAGACGCCAACGGGAGGCAGCAGGGGGGAAUAUGGCACAAUGGGCGGAAGCCUGAGGCAGCAACGCCGCGAGCGGGAUGACGGCCUUCGGGUGGUAAACAGCUUUCGCCUGUGACGAAGCGGGAGUGACGGUAAUGGGUAAAGAAGCACCGGCUAACUACGUG
rnacentral:rRNA from 1 species